rnacentral:snoRNA from 1 species
AACCACCUUUUUCCUACAGUUCAAAGAAUCACUUUAGAGUAGACGUCCCACCUCUGAGCUCUUCUAAAGAGCCACAGAAUCUCCACCCUUGCUGAUGACUGCUAUGUCCUCGAUGCCCUAAAGUGAAGCCGUUUUUACUCCCGAUUCGACUUCGCAUUUGCACGCUCUGUUACGAUCUGUCGUCAGAUAGACUUGUUUCGGGUGUCGGUGCGAUGGUUCAGGGAGUGGUGAUGAUCUUUACCUUGUCAUGAUGUCUUGACUUCGGUCGGUCGGACUUGGUGGGUGUCGAGGAGGUCUGAAAGGU